rnacentral:rRNA from 1 species
AGUGAACGCUGGCGGUAUGCCUAACACAUGCAAGUCGAACGGCAGCACAGUAAGAUCUUUCUCUUACGGUUGGCGAGUGGCGGACGGGUGAGGAAUACAUCGCAAUCUACUUUUUCUUGGGUGAUAACGUGGGGCAACUUACGCUAAUACCUCAUAUGUCCUACGGGUUAAUUCAAUAGUUCUUCGGACCUUUCGUGUUUGUUUUAGCCGAUGUCGGAUUAGCUAGUUGGCUGGGUAAGGUCCCACCAAGGCGACGAUCCGUAGCUGGUCUGAGAGGAUGAUCAGCCACACUGGAACUGAGACACGGUCCAGACUCCUACGGGAGGCAGCAGUGGGGAAUAUUGGACAAUGGGCGAAAGCCUGAUGCAGCAAUACCGCGUGAGUGAAGAAGGCCUUCGGGUUGUAAAGCCCUUUUGUUGGGAAAGAAAAGCAGCAGGUUAAUACCCCGAUGUUCUGACGGUACCCAAAGAAAAAGCAACGGCUAACUUCGUG